ACGGAAGGCAGCAGUAGGGAAUAUUGGGCAAUGGGCGAAAGCCUGACCCAGCAACGCCGCGUGAAGGAAGAAGGUCUUCGGAUUGUAAACUUUUGUCUUAUGGGACGAUAAUGACGGUACCAUAGGAGGAAGCCACGACUAACUACGUGCCAGCAGUCGCGGUAAUACGUAGGUGGCAAGCGUUAUCCGGAAUUAUUGGGUGUAAAGGGUGCGUAGGCGGGAUGUAAAGUCAGAUGUGAAAUCUCAGGGCUUAACCUUGAGACUGCAUUUGAAACUUACAUUCUUGAGUUAAGUAGAGGCAAGCGGAAUUCCCAGUGUAGCGGUGAAAUGCGUAGAUAUUGGGAGGAACACCAGUGGCGAAGGCGGCUUGCUGGGCUUUUACUGACGCUGAGGCACGAAAGUGUGGGGAGCAAACAGGAUUAGAUACCCUGGUA
rnacentral:rRNA from 1 species